AUUGAACGCUAGCGGGAUGCUUUACACAUGCAAGUCGAACGAGUGGCGGACGGGUGAGUAAUAUAUCGUAACGUUCCCAGUAGCGGGGGAUAACUACUCGAAAGAGUGUCUAAUACCGCAUACUCUUGGAGUGGCCGAUUACGGAUGAGCUAGUUGGUGUGUUAAAGGCUCACAAAGGAAACAACCCGUAGCGGGUUUGAGAGGACGAGCAGACACACGGAGACUGAGACAGGCCCCAGACCCCUACGGGAGGCAGGAGGGGGGAAUUUCGGACUAGGGGGGAAACCCUGAGCCAGCCGUCCCGGGUGUAUGAGAAGCCCUUCGGGUUGUAAAGUACUUUUGGCAGAGAAGCGGUAUCUGAAGAAUAAGCACCGGCUAACUACGUGCCAGCCGCCGCGGUAUUA
rnacentral:rRNA from 1 species